rnacentral:rRNA from 1 species
UACGUAGGGUGCGAGCGUUAAUCGGAAUUACUGGGCGUAAAGCGUGCGCAGGCGGUUUGCUAAGACAGGCGUGAAAUCCCCGGGCUUAACCUGGGAACUACGCUUGUAACUGGCAAGCUAGAGUGUGGCAGAGGGGGGUGGAAUUCCACGUGUAGCAGUGAAAUGCGUAGAGAUGUGGAGGAACACCGAUGGCGAAGGCAGCCCCCUGGGCUAACACUGACGCUCAUGCACGAAAGCGUGGGGAGCAAACAGG